rnacentral:rRNA from 1 species
GAUGAACGCUGGCUACAGGCUUAACACAUGCAAGUCGAGGGGAAACGACGGGGAAGCUUGCUUCCCCGGGCGUCGACCGGCGCACGGGUGAGUAACGCGUAUCCAACCUGCCUCUGACUGAGGGAUAACCCGUCGAAAGUCGGCCUAAUACCUCAUGGCAUCGUCUGCGGGCAUCCAACGACGAUUAAAGAUUUCAUCGGUCAGGGAUGGGGAUGCGUCUGAUUAGCUUGUUGGCGGGGUAACGGCCCACCAAGGCUACGAUCAGUAGGGGUUCUGAGGGGAAGGUCCCCUACAUUGGAACUGAGACACGGUCCAAAAUCCUACGGGAGGCAGCAGUGAGGAAUAUUGGUCAAUGGGCGGGAGCCUGAACCAGCCAAGUAGCGUGCAGGAGGACGGCGCUAUGGGUUGUAAACUGCUUUUAUGCGGGGAUAAAGUGAGGGACGUGUCCUUCAUUGCAGGUACCGCAUGAAUAAGGACCGGCUAAUUCCGUG